rnacentral:rRNA from 1 species
AUUGAACGCUGGCGGCAUGCCUUACACAUGCAAGUCGAACGGCAGCAUGGAGAGCUUGCUCUCUGAUGGCGAGUGGCGAACGGGUGAGUAAAGCAUCGGAACGUACCGUGUAGUGGGGGAUAACGUAGCGAAAGUUACGCUAAUACCGCAUACGCGCCGAGGUGGAAAGCAGGGGAUCGUAAGACCUUGCGCUAUACGAGCGGCCGAUGUCAGAUUAGCUAGUUGGUAGGGUAAAGGCCUACCAAGGCGACGAUCUGUAGCGGGUCUGAGAGGAUGAUCCGCCACACUGGGACUGAGACACGGCCCAGACUCCUACGGGAGGCAGCAGUGGGGAAUUUUGGACAAUGGGGGCAACCCUGAUCCAGCCAUGCCGCGUGAGUGAAGAAGGCCUUCGGGUUGUAAAGCUCUUUCGGCCGGGAAGAAAUCGCACAGGCUAAUACCCUGUGUGGAUGACGGUACCGGCAUAAGAAGCACCGGCUAACUACGUGCCAGCAGCCGCCGUAA